rnacentral:piRNA from 1 species
UUUUGUUUAUGUGGGUUAAAGCUAUUGA